GAUUAAUGUCGGGUCCUUCAAAUACAUUUCGAUCCGACAAAUUCCUCAUUCCAUCUUUCAUUAGCUAGAUCAAACCCUAAUUGCUCUCUCAACCGAAUGGUGAUUUCCCGUGAAAUCCAUCAAGACCAAUUAAAUCGUUCAUCUUAUUAUCUUCUCCUAUUUCUUAGAUUUAGGGUUUUUAAUGGAGAUUUAUAUACCUGGAAAUUCAGAAGAUGUAGGAGGUGGAUUCCAUCUCUGACAUGUAUCGAUCUAGGUUUUUUUUUUCAUUCACUGCUCUACAAUCUUUGAUUGCUACCCAAAUCGAUUGGAGACAGUAAGGCUAUUGAGAUUCCGUAAUCAGGUUUGCGAUUUGCAAGAUUUAGUUUAUGUGUGUGCUUUAAAUCUUGUCGAUUUAUGUUAAUGAUGUUAGGGUUUUCACGUGGAACAACGGUGGUGGCAUUAUUGUGGCUAUAGGGUGGUUAGCGGCGGCCAGGAUCCAAAUCUCGAUUUAAAAAUAUCAUGUUCCCAUUGAAGACGCCAAUAAGGUGAGCCAUCUUUCUACUGUAUACACAAUUCUACACAUUCAAAGAUAGCGAUUCAAUUCUUUGAUCAGGAAGCAAUGGAAAUGGCAGUCAAAUGCACUUACUAUUGUUAUUAUCGACAUUUUACAUUCAAGAGAAAAUCAAGUGAUAUAGGGGUAAUAUGGCGCGAUGAAGGAGACGAUGAAUCUCCAGUCAACAAAAUGACAUUCGAGAAAUUGCGCUAAGAGGUUUGGUUGGUUGCGUAUGCUCUUGAAAAACUGGCAUUGGAAAAAAGGAUCUGCGAUCGCGAUUGAUAUGUCGAUGGAUGUUAAAUCGGUGGUGAUAUAUCUGGCAAUCGUUAUUCAGGCUAGAAUAACAAAAGAUCAAUAGAAGCUUUUUAGAGCUUACACCGUAUGGUGCAUUUUUCUCAUUAACUAGCUUUUUUAGAGCUUGACACCGUAUGGUUUAUGGUGGACCUUUACACCGUAUGGUGAAUUAGUUUCCGAUGAUCAAUAUUCUGUCAUUGAUCUGAAAAAUUUGCUCUAUAUCGUUAAUUAUCUGUUGAACGAACCUUCAACUUGAGACGGUAUAUUUCUUUGCAUUUUAUGUUUCUGAUGAUCAAUAAUUUGCUACUGAUUUGGAAUUUGUACUGUAAAUCGUUAAUUGCUAUUGAAAUUUGUACUUGAGACGUAUAUUUUUUAGCAUUUUGUGUUUUAAAUGAUAAAAGAAUUGUUACUGAUUUGGAAUUUGUAUUGUUUGCCGUUAGUUUUCUAUUGAAUUUAAACUUUAGACGGAGGAUUUUGCAUUUUGUGUUUCUGUUGAUCAAUAAUUUGCUACUGUUCUGGAAUAUGUACUGUAUAUCAUUAAAGUUUGAACUUGAGACACACAUAUUUCUUAGACUUUUUGUGUUUUUGAUGUUCAGUUAAUUGUUAUUAUUCUGAAAAUUUUACUCAAUAUUCUUAAAAUUUGAAUUUGUUUAUCUGAUGUCAAUAUUUUGUUAUUAAUCUUGAAUUUGUACUCUAUAUUGUUAAUUUUAUGCUUAAGUUGAACUUGAUAUGGUUGAUUUCUUCGUACUCGGUGGUGUUUUCGAUGAUUAAUAGAAUCUGUACUGUAUAAUGUUAGCAUUUGUAGAAAUUUUAAUUUCAGAAGUUAAUUUUUGUUGCAUUCUUGCUUUUGAUGAUCGAUAAUUUGUUACGAAUUUGUACUGUUUAAUUUUAGAUUUUGCUGAAAUUAAAACUUGAAAUGGUAGAUAAACCUGUUCAUUCUAGAAUUUUGGUUGCAAAGUUUUGUUGCAAUGUGUGAAAGAAGCCUAAUAUUUGCAAUUUGUAGGGGAAAAUGACGACCAGAUUGAGGAAGAACAGGAAGAAGCGCGGGCAUGUGAGCGCCGGACAUGGUCGUAUCGGAAAGCAUCGUAAGCAUCCCGGAGGUCGUGGUAAUGCUGGGGGUAUGCACCACCACCGCAUCCUUUUCGACAAGUACCAUCUCGGCUUCUUUGGUAAAGUCGGUAUGAGGUACUUCCACAGGCUCCGCAACAAGUUCCAUGGUCGUAUUGUCAUGUUUUUUAAGUGGCUCAUUGACAUGGCACCACCAACUUUAUUGUCUCUGGUUUUAAAGAGAGAACAAGAUAGAGCUGGAUCUGAUGGUCGGUUUCUCAGGCUUUUUAGGGUUGAGGUUUAACCUGAUAACUAAACUAUUGAAGAUUCGGGUUUUUAGUUCUCGUGUUUUAUCGGAUUGGGUGUAAUCGGGGUUUCUGGUAAACGUGAGUAACACUUUUUUAGAUAAUUAAGAUUUCUACGAAGUUUAAAUAAAUAAAACUUUUAUAAAAUGUUAAAAUAAGUCCGUUAAUCAGUAUUUAGAUGUUUCUUAUUAAAUUCAAGAACUUAUUUAUAUAAGUAGCAUUCUGGUUGGACUUUGUGAAUUAUAUUUCACCUUAAAUAUGCAUUGUGAGGUAAACUGGUAUAGUUAGUUUGCUGAUGAAAUAGAGGUGUAGUAUAAAGAAUUAGAAUUUAAAAUGUAGUAUAAAUAAUUAGAAUUUAUAACUUUAAUUCUGAUGUAUUUACUUUUUAUUUUUAUCUUCACAUAGAGUAUUGUUUAUAUUUAAAUUAAAAAAUAACAUUUCUAAUAAUUAGAUUGGAACUCAUGGUUUUUUUCUUAUGUGCAAGAAUCGUGAUUCGUGCCUAAUGCAUAAAUGUACUCGAGAGUGAGGAUAAGUUACAGUAUGUCAUAUCCCAUGCCCAUGGCUUUAGAUUGAGGGUUUCAUGAAGAUCUCAUACCAACAAAUGUGAUCGUAAUUAAUAACACUAAUUUUUUAUUUGUUAAUGCUACAAAUUUUGUUGGUCAUCUUUGAUUUAGUUUUACUCGGAGGCAUCAGACAAGUAGACUUUGGUGAAGUUUUUCAAUAUUACAAUCUUAUUGCACAUUGGAGUGAUGUGCAAGGGACUAAAAUUUCCAUUCCACUCUCACCACAGUGGCCUUUCUCGAAACCUGGGAGAACAAGACAUGAACUUGUGCCAGGUGAAGCUUUAACUUUUGAGUCGAACUGCAUCGGUGAAUAUUUUAAAACCAUAUGUACUUAGGAUUUUUCAUUGUCUUUAGCGAAUAAUGUUAGAUUCUCUUUAGUCAGUGUGGUUUGACCCAAAGCUCCAUUUCAAACCAAAAGAGUUUUGUUUUUUUUUUUUUUCAGUCCACUCAUCUAACACCAUCCCUAUGUGUCGUUAAUUUAACCACGUGUGCCUCUCAUGUGAUGCGCUUUUUAGUCUUUUCUCUUUAGUUUCACCAAAAAAAAAAAAAAAACCUUAUAGAAUUCUAAAGGUUUCUUCUUGAAUGAGCAUUUAAACCCUCUAUUGUUACGUUUUCGUGUUUUGUUUGUUAUGUUUAUCUUGUGAGUUGUCUAAGGUAGGGAACGAUGGUUAUCUUUUGUGUUUUAUGGGUCAUGAACGUGUCAUGAACAUGUCAUCUAUGGAUAAGGUAUGGGUCAUGAACGUGUCAUGAACAUGUUAUUGGGAGCUAUUAUUUUCUCACAAUGACACAAAAAAGAUUAUAUUAUAUUGUUAUGCAUCAGCAACAUCAAGUCUGGGACCACCAGUUGUGAAAGUUAGCUUAUUAAGUAGUGCUAUAAAGUUGUUAAUUUUAUUUU